UAAAUAUGUGGCAUAAUCAAGUAGGAUGGCUAGUUGGGGUGAUAGGCUAUCAAGUCUGGGGAUAUCUUGUUUACCUUGAAAUGUAUUGAGUACUCUGCCGGUUUAUUAGUGAUAAGGCUAAUAAAAUAUAUUAAUUUGGGUUCUCCCCAAGAACACAGUUUAACCGCUAGUUGGUUUUAUAUUGGAACAUUACUAUCAUCUAUUUAUAGUAUAUAAAGGUAAGUAUAUAAUUGUAAUAGCUAUUUAUAUUGUGGGUAUGAGUAAUCUAAGUAUCGUUGAUGAACUCGGCAAGAUUCCCUUCACCUGUUUAUCAAAAACAUCGCCAGUAGGAAGUAUUAUUGGUCCGUUCUGCUCCAUGUAUAAUAAAUAGCCGCAGUACCCUGACUGUGCAAAGGUAGCAUAAUCAUUUGGCUUAUAAUUGAAGUCUGGCAUGAAGGAAUCCAUGGGGGGAAGCUCUAUUUGCGAUAUCUAUUGAAUUUACUUAUUGGGUGCAAAUUCCCAAAAAAAAACAAAAGACGAGAAGACCCUUGAAAUUUUGACCAACUGUUAUUCAAAGUUUUUGUUGGGGCAACAUAGCAGCAUUUAACCUGCAGUAAUGACACGUCACACUAGUAGCUAGAUUAAAUUACUCUAGGGAUAACAGCGUAAUUCUGAAGUGUUUGCGACCUCGAUGUUGGACUAGGGAGCCCCUGCUUAAAA
rnacentral:rRNA from 1 species